UUAGUCUGGUUCCUCUUCAGAUUUGCUUUUACCAAAGAUUUCUGUGAAGAGGAACUUUUGUGAGUUUUAUACCAAUUUUUGGAGGCCCGGCUUUGGUAGGGCU
rnacentral:snRNA from 1 species